rnacentral:rRNA from 1 species
UACGUAGGGGCAAGCGUUGGUCCGGAAUCAUUGGGCGUAAAGAGCGUGUAGGCGGCCAGAUAAGUCCGCUGUGAAAUCUCGAGGCUCAACUUCGAGCUGUCGGUGGAAACUGUCUGGCUAGAGUCCGGAAGAGGAGAAUGGAAUUCCUGGUGUAGCGGUGAAAUGCGCAGAUAUCAGGAGGAACACCCGUGGCGAAAGCGGCUCUCUGGGACGGUACUGACGCUGAGACGCGAAAGCGUGGGGAGCAAACAGG